CUUACGACUCUGGAUAUUGUGACCUGGGUACCAAGGAACCAUCCAGCCAAGAAUGGGCACCAGAACAGGAGGACAUUGAAGAGCUAAGUGCCUUAGUACCUUGUGGACCAAGAGGUUUGAGGGUGCAGGCACCUAGUAUAUCAGGUGAUGGAACUUCUAUUCAAUUGUUGCUUAGCAGUGGAAGAACUUACGACUCUAGAUAUUGUGACCUGGGUACCAAUGACCAAACUAGCCAAG